AUGACGCAAAAUAGGGCUAAGUGGACAGCAAGGUAUGAGAAAGGUCUCGUGGAGGUACUUACAGAGUACAAUCUAUCUCAUUACCGUGGCCAAAAUGGGUGGACUACCGAAGGAUGGAAUCAAGUUGUCAAGGAACUGAACAAUUUAUAUCCAGAGGCAAGGUUUACCAAGGAUCAAGUUCAAGAUAAGGAAGCUCAGUUGAAAAAGCACUACAAAAAUAUCAAGUUGAUAGUCAACCGCUCUGGAAUAUCAUGGAAUGAUAUUGCAUGUGUGAUCAACACUACACCUGAAAAAUGGGAAGAGAUCAUUGCAGAGGACCCAAAGCUCAAAAUGUAUGAAGGAAAGAGCUUUCCAUUGUACGAGGCAUUGGGUGUGCUCUAUGAAGGACACAUUGCGCAAGGAAGACAUUGCCUCACAUCAAGGAAGCCUCCGAUUGGCACAAAAACAGGUAGCAACUUUGGAGCGAAGGAUAAGAUGGUUGCAAGCACUAGCAAGAAAAUUACAAGACAUGGAAGAGAUGACAACGUAAGGACUUCUUCAAUAAUUGACAUCAAUGAUACUCCUACAUUAGAUGAUGUGGAUGAAAGAGAGAACACUGUCAAUGACGAGGAAGAAUUAGGCAGUGAAGAUGCUGAUGGCGAUCAACCACAAAUAAGUGAAUCAAGUGCCAAAGGGAAAAAAACUAAGAAACAAAAAGGUGCCACAUCUGUACAGCGGCUUGAAGAUUCCAUGAUGGCUUAUGUGAAUUUCAAGAAAGAUCAAGCUUCCAAGAAGGAAAAAGUGUCACAGCAAGGAAAACAGCCCUCAAUUACAGAAUGCUUGCAGGUCUUGAAUGACAUGGAUGAUGUUCCCGACGAGGUCAAAAUCUUUGCCUCUGAUGUUUUCAAGGAUGCAACAAAUCGUGAGAUUUUCCUGGGUUACAACUCAAGAUUGCGGGGUAUGUGGCUAAAGAAGGAAGUCGACGAGAUUAGUCCUCAGCCUCCUCCUUGA
rnacentral:rRNA from 1 species